rnacentral:rRNA from 1 species
GAUGAACGCUGGCGGCGUGCUUAACACAUGCAAGUCGAACGAGAAGUGAAGACGGAAACCUUCGGGCGGAAGGCUUUAUUUCGAGUGGCGGACGGGUGAGUAACGCGUGGGUAACCUGCCUCAUACAGGGGGAUAACAGUUGGAAACGACUGUUAAUACCGCAUAAGACCACAGCACCGCAUGGUGCGGGGGUAAAAACUCCGGUGGUAUGAGAUGGACCCGCGUUCGAUUAGCCAGUUGGCGGGGUAACGGCCCACCAAAGCGACGAUCGAUAGCCGAUCUGAGAGGAUGACCGGCCACAUUGGGACUGAGACACGGCCCAAACUCCUACGGGAGGCAGCAGUGGGGAAUAUUGCACAAUGGGGGAAACCCUGAUGCAGCGACGCCGCGGGAGUGAAGAAGUAUGUCGGUAUGUAAAGCUCUAUCAGCAGGGAAGAAAAUGACGGUACCUGAGUAAGAAGCCCCGGCUAACUACGUG